AGCUGCUGUACAGGCGGCAGCUCGGCAGGGGGAGCGGUUGUCUGGGAUUCUGUGCUUAGGCCUGCGGGUUCCGACUACCAAAUUAUCGCUCAUUUAGUUCGUUCCUAAACUGUGGGCUAGUCCCUGGCGGCCGUGGAGUCGCGGCUGCGUUCGCGUCACAGUCCCAUUGCCCUGGAAACGGAUGGAGCCUCAGUGGCUUUGAGAGGCCGCGAAGGCUUUGGCUCGACUCUUGGAGUUUAGGGGGUUGCACUCUCUUCGGAGCCUAUACCCGACGGAAAUAACCACCCGGAAAACGGUGGUCGAAGUAACUGAGGACUCCUCACUUUUCGCUUUUCGUCGUGCUGUCGCCCUGAAAACACUGCUCCACCCUGGGAAUCCAAAGACGAACCGGGCACACUCCUUGCCUUCAAGUUGCUGACAGUUUUAUGGGGACAGUGUAUGGCAUAUAAGUGACAGUACAUGACGAUCCUGCUAUACAAUUUGGGUCACAAAUUCAAAUUUCCAUAGGAUGGCUCCAGGAUGUUCAAUAAGUGUUUGGAGACUUUCUGGAUGGAUUUGUCUAGGAUUAAGGUUUAGCGUUGGAAUGGAAAACAAGGCUAGACAGAGAAAAGAGAAAACAGAUUGGGAAGAACGUUAAAGAGCAAGACUUUUGCCCACGCUUUCCCAUCACUGACUGACCCUGGUGCUUCCUGAGGCCCUGCAUGGCACAGCGGCUUGUCCCCUCCUCUUGGGAACUGUAAGUAACAAACCAUCUUUUCAAUGGCAGUCGUCUCCUGACCUGUUGGCUUCAUUAUACCGGAAUAAAUACAAAAUCUUAGGUUCAUUUUAAAAACAAGAGAUGCAGAUGCAAAGAGUUUUAUUUAGAUGUUGGUUUUGGAGUGCGGUCAGGAAUUCUGGGGUGUGAGACCCUUCAGGGAGUCUUAGAGAUCAAAAUCAUAUGCAAGUAAAAGAUUUCUCCCAGUGCACGAGCCCAAUGGAUUGUGAUGUAAGGGAGUAUGAAAAGACCAUUGGUCUGGUUUCAGGUUCCUCAUUGUAGCUAAUCUUUGAGAAGCUACCACUGGUUGAGUAUUAGUAUUGUGUCACAGAAGAAUAUUUACAGUUAUCUGUAAAGCUUCUAAAAUACUUCUCCCUUAACUGUAUAUCUGCAUGAGG